rnacentral:sRNA from 1 species
UAUUUUGGUCAAGGUAAUUAUAAUACCAAGAACUGAGUAGAUUUGAAAAUUCACGAAAGAAGUCCAGAAAUACCAGCAGCAAGAUGAAGAGCGACGUCGGCAGCUGAGAGAGAGAGCUCGUCAGCUAAUAGCAGAAGCUCGAUCUGGAGUGAAGAUGUCAGAACUUCCCAGCUAUGGUGAAAUGGCUGCAGAAAAGUUGAAAGAAAGGUCAAAGGCAUCUGGAGAACAAAACAGUAAGUUGGUGGACUUGAAGCUGAAGAAGCUCCUAGAAGUUCAGCCACAGGUGGCAAAUUCAUCCUCCAGUGCUGCCCAGAAAGCUGUAACUGAGAGCUCAGAGCAGGACAUGAAAAAUGGCACAGAAGAUCUCCGGACUGAACGAUUACAAAAAACAACACAACGUUUUAGAAAUCCUGUUGUGUUCGGCAAAGAUUCUACAGUCAGAAAAACUCAACUUCAGUCUUUCAGCCAAUAUAUUGAGAAUAGACCAGAGAUGAAAAGGCAGAGAUCAAUACAGGAAGAUACAAAGAAAGGAAAUGAGGAGAAGGCAGCGAUAACUGAAACUCAGAGGAAGCCAUCAGAAGAUGAAGUGCUUAAUAAAGGGUUCAAAGACACCAGUCAGUAUGUUGUAGGAGAAUUGGCAGCACUAGAGAAUGAGCAAAAGCAAAUUGACACCCGUGCCGCGCUGGUGGAGAAGCGCCUUCGCUAUCUCAUGGACACAGGAAGGAACACAGAAGAAGAAGAAGCUAUGAUGCAGGAAUGGUUUAUGUUAGUUAAUAAGAAAAAUGCCUUAAUAAGGAGAAUGAAUCAGCUCUCUCUUCUGGAAAAAGAACAUGAUUUAGAACGACGGUAUGAGCUGCUGAACCGGGAAUUGCGGGCAAUGCUAGCCAUUGAAGACUGGCAGAAGACCGAGGCCCAGAAGCGACGGGAGCAGCUCCUGCUAGACGAGCUGGUGGCCCUGGUGAACAAGCGCGAUGCGCUCGUCAGGGACCUGGACGCGCAGGAGAAGCAGGCCGAAGAAGAAGAUGAGCAUUUGGAGCGAACUCUGGAGCAAAACAAAGGCAAGAUGGCCAAGAAAGAGGAGAAAUGUGUUCUUCAGUAGCCAUCAGAUCAGAAAGAAUCUCUCCCAACAUUUUAGAGUCUUGCUUCCCAAACCAGAAAAAGUCAGACUCAUUGUUGAUUUAAAACUUCUAACAUUUUGUUUGGCUGGAUUGUACUACUUUACCUCUACUUUACCACCACCACCCUUUCCCUCCCUCCUUUCC